UUCCUUUUUCUCGCUCGUCUGCCCACCAUUCGCGAAUGUGACCCGUUCCCCAUUUUCUCCCCCACGAUGCCGCCGCCUCCAGCUCCUGCCACCGUCGUACGCCGCCGCCGCACCGCGCCCGCCGCCACAGCGCACCCGCCGCCGCACCAUACCCGCCUCCUGGACAGAAUCCCUACCAGCGCCACGCCUCUCUGCCCCCAAUCGAGAUUUCAUGGCUAACCCUAGCCUUGAGGCUCACGCUCGCCGGCGCUGCUCCGACAUCCGCCACUCGCCUGCGCCGCCCGGAGACAAGCGCCUCCACCAGUUCCACGCCCCUGCCCUACCACCACGCCUCCUAGUCAAGCUCCGGUGUUGGCUCGGGCUGCUGGUGUUGCUGCCCGCAUCUCGGGCUGCCAGCGUUGCUCCCCGCACCAGCGCCUCCGGCUCCACCCUCGAUGCCCCGAGCUCUUCUUCGUAGAGCUCGCCCUCUGGUGCACCUACUACUCCAACCCGACGCCAUAACCUUCAACAUCGAGCCCCAGAUCGGUGUGGUGCUAAUGUUUGCCUAGGCUGGCUGUAGCCUCACGUCUGCGGGCUGUCGUGACGACACCUUCGUCACCGACUACAUCCAAUCAGGCUGGACCAUCAAGCGCGUCCGCACCGGCCAGAAGACCUUCUUCCAUGUCUCCAAAGAAACAAUAAAUGUGCAUAAUGCUUAUGUCAUGGAGUGAUCUAAAAUCACCUCCCCUGGGCUUUAUCUAAUGCCCUAUCAUGGAGCUGAGACCUGCUUUGCUGCGAGGCAUAUUUGUAUAAGUACAUAUGCGCAUGAGGUGUGGUCGACAAUUACCGGCACAACAUGAGCUAAAAGAAGGUGUCGGUGCCACCGCAAGAGAUGGUCUUGUUUGUUGUGAUGACGAGGAUUGAAGAGUUUGUAUCUUCAAAGUUGGCACGGAGCUUUCCUAAUGAGAUUGCAGGAGCAACUCGGUUGCCAGCAGGAGCAACUCGCGAAAUGAAUGCAUUAUGUGUGUAUACUCAGCAGGAGUUUUUCCAUAAAUUUUGCACUAGUUUCCUCUAUGCAUUUUGUUGCAUGGAACCUGGGAUUUCCCCCAAUGUAUCUAUGUUGAUCCAGGUCUGUUAGCAUGUUGUAUGCACCUGGGGAAUCUUAGUUUUUAGCUACUGCCGGGGUUGUUGUUCUUGCUGUCAAUAUCCCACAUAAAGUUGAUGAAGGUUUGUUCUUUGUUGUAUAUAUUUGGGAUUGCUGAAUCCAGAUAAGUUGGUGCAGGGUAGUAGCAAUAUGCUUCAUGAACCUGUGAAUUUUGCUAAAUAUAUUUGCCCAUAUCUCUAAGUUGAUGCAUA